CGGCAACAGCUACAACUUCGAUUCACGCAGCAGCAACUCCAAUUCGCGGUGGCGAUGCGGCGGCGGUGGCAAUUCCAGGAGAAAGAAAAACUGGAGAGAGAGAUAAAACACAGGACAAAACAACGUCGUUUUAUCCCACCUAAACGACGUUUUAUUAAUCGUCCGACAAUUCCACGUCAUUUUUCCGAUUGAGGUUGAAGACUAUGAAGAUGACGUGGAUGAUGUGGAGGCCAAUGGAGAUGACGUGGAUAAUGUGGACGCCAAUGAAGAUGGUGUGGAUGACGUGGACGCCAAUGAAGAUAGUGUGGAUGACAUGGACAAUGUGUGCAAUAGUGGAGAUGACAUGGCCGCCAUAGAGGUAGAAUAUAUAAAGAUCUUUAGAGAGGACGUUAUACGAGCCUAUAGAGAGGACGUAUAAACUAAUUGUUGGUUGUGAAUUCUAAUUUUGUCUGGUCUAAUUGUCAACUUAGCUCUUCACCUUGCUUUGAUUUUGUGAAGAUCCUCUCUAUAUAUCAAUUUAAUACAAUUACGUUUUUUUGUGUGCUUUGGACAUGAUAGCUCGAGCUCGAGCUCGAGUUCGAAUUGCAAGCAAAAGGCAGAGGCACAUAGCAUAGAUCCAUUGUGUCCUAUGGCAGAAGUGAAUAUUCUAGAAUCUCAAUUUGGAUCUGCUUUUGAUGAGCUCAACAAGGACAACAAUGUUGAAACAUGAUUUCACACUUAUGUUUGUGACUAGUUAAGACUUUCUAGUAUCAAUUUAUCUAUUUGUGAAAUUGCUUUUUUUUUUUAAUAAACUAGCAGUAUUUAAUAAAGAAAUUUAAAUGUCGCACCACAUGAAACUCGAACCGAAGACCUUUGGCCUUAAGUUGCUCAUAUCCAGUAUUAAUUUUAGUGUUCGUUGUUGUAAUUUGGCACUGAUCAUAAAUAGAGUGUUUUUCUUUAGCAAUAUAUUAACUUAGAAUUUUAUUAUAA